CGCAGGAUAGAGAAGUGGUUUCUUUCUGGUUUCCUUAGCCAGAGACGGUGGUUCAAAUCCACCUCCUGCAA
rnacentral:tRNA from 1 species